UGCCAGACUCCUACGGGAGGCAGCAGUGGGGAAUAUUGCACAAUGGGGGGAACCCUGAUGCAGCGACGCCGCGUGAGUGAAGAAGUAUUUCGGUAUGUAAAGCUCUAUCAGCAGGGAAGAAAAUGACGGUACCUGACUAAGAAGCCCCGGCUAACUACGUGCCAGCAGCCGCGGUAAUACGUAGGGGGCAAGCGUUAUCCGGAUUUACUGGGUGUAAAGGGAGCGCAGACGGCUGUGCAAGUCUGGAGUGAAAGGCGGGGGCCCAACCCCCGGACUGCUCUGGAAACUGUAAAGCUGGAGUGCAGGAGAGGUAAGCGGAAUUCCUAGUGUAGCGGUGAAAUGCGUAGAUAUUAGGAGGAACACCAGUGGCGAAGGCGGCUUACUGGACUGCAACUGACGUUGAGGCUCGAAAGCGUGGGGAGCAAACAGGAUUAGAUACCCUUGUACG
rnacentral:rRNA from 1 species